rnacentral:rRNA from 1 species
UACGUAGGGGGCAAGCGUUGUCCGGAUUUAUUGGGCGUAAAGAGCUCGUAGGUGGUUCGGUAAGUCGGAUGUGAAAUCUCCAGGCUCAACCUGGAGGGUCAUUCGAUACUGCCGUGACUAGAGGUCGGUAGGGGAGUGUGGAAUUCCUGGUGGAGCGGUGAAAUGCGCAGAUAUCAGGAGGAACACCAGCGGCGAAGGCGGCGCUCUGGGCCGGUACUGACACUGAGGAGCGAAAGCGUGGGUAGCAAACAGG